rnacentral:rRNA from 1 species
GAUGAACGCUGGCGGCGUGCCUAAUACAUGCAAGUCGAGCGAACAGAUAAGGAGCUUGCUCCUUUGACGUUAGCGGCGGACGGGUGAGUAACACGUGGGUAACCUACCUAUAAGACUGGGAUAACUUCGGGAAACCGGAGCUAAUACCGGAUAACAUUUGGAACCGCAUGGUUCUAAAGUGAAAGAUGGUUUUGCUAUCACUUAUAGAUGGACCCGCGCCGUAUUAGCUAGUUGGUAAGGUAACGGCUUACCAAGGCGACGAUACGUAGCCGACCUGAGAGGGUGAUCGGCCACACUGGAACUGAGACACGGUCCAGACUCCUACGGGAGGCAGCAGUAGGGAAUCUUCCGCAAUGGGCGAAAGCCUGACGGAGCAACGCCGCGUGAGUGAUGAAGGGUUUCGGCUCGUAAAACUCUGUUAUUAGGGAAGAACAAAUGUGUAAGUAACUGUGCACGUCUUGACGGUACCCAAUCAGAAAGCCACGGCUAACUACGUG